GCCAGGUUUCAAAAUAAAUGCUUUGACCUUGAUAUAUGUAACAAACGGCGACUUGACAUGCUUUCCGUUAUUCAACUCAGUCAUCAACGAGAGCAAGGAUAAUUUUGGGCAGUCUCUGAUAAUAAUUAAGUCCAAGAAACCAUCUGACAUCUUAGCAUCUGGUGCUGCCAAGGUGUUUUCAGCUCCCCAAGGUACAUUGUGAAGCCAGACUGAAAUAAAAGGUCCGUCAAAUUUUCUCCAAUUUAAAUCCUUCAAGUUGAUAUUAGGUCCUUCGUAGCCAUGCCGUUGAAUAUUAAUGGGCUCACCAUCAGUUUUG
rnacentral:misc_RNA from 1 species